rnacentral:rRNA from 1 species
UACGUAGGGUGCAGGCGUUAAUCGGAAUUACUGGGCGUAAAGCGUGCGCAGGCGGUGAUGUAAGACAGAUGUGAAAUCCCCCGGGCUCAACCUGGGAACUGCAUUUGUGACUGCAUCGCUGGAGUGCGGCAGAGGGGGAUGGAAUUCCGCGUGUAGCAGUGAAAUGCGUAGAUAUGCGGAGGAACACCGAUGGCGAAGGCAAUCCCCUGGGCCUGCACUGACGCUCAUGCACGAAAGCGUGGGGAGCAAACAGG